AUACGCCUACGGGGCGCAGCAGUAGGGAAUCUUCCACAAUGGGCGAAAGCCUGAUGGAGCAACGCCGCGUGGGUGAAGAAGGUCUUCGGAUCGUAAAACCCUGUUGUUAGAGAAGAAAGUGCGUGAGAGUAACUGUUCACGUUUCGACGGUAUCUAACCAGAAAGCCACGGCUAACUACGUGCCAGCAGCCGCGGUAAUACGUAGGUGGCAAGCGUUAUCCGGAUUUAUUGGGCGUAAAGAGAACGCAGGCGGUCUUUUAAGUCUGAUGUGAAAGCCUUCGGCUUAACCGGAGUGGUUCAUUGGG
rnacentral:rRNA from 1 species